AUCUUUUUGUAGUUCAUGAAUGACUGGGUGUUCACGCACAUGUGUGAGAUGUGCUAUCCUUGAACCUUGUUACGAUGUCGGCACAUUACUGGUCUGACU